rnacentral:rRNA from 1 species
UGGGGAAUUUUGGACAAUGGGCGAAAGCCUGAUCCAGCAAUGCCGCGUGUGUGAAGAAGGCCUUCGGGUUGUAAAGCACUUUUGUCCGGAAAGAAAUCCUUGGCUCUAAUACAGUCGGGGGAUGACGGUACCGGAAGAAUAAGCACCGGCUAACUACGUGCCAGCAGCCGCGGUAAUACGUAGGGUGCAAGCGUUAAUCGGAAUUACUGGGCGUAAAGCGUGCGCAGGCGGUUUGCUAAGACCGAUGUGAAAUCCCCGGGCUCAACCUGGGAACUGCAUUGGUGACUGGCAGGCUAGAGUAUGGCAGAGGGGGGUAGAAUUCCACGUGUAGCAGUGAAAUGCGUAGAGAUGUGGAGGAAUACCGAUGGCGAAGGCAGCCCCCUGGGCCAAUACUGACGCUCAUGCACGAAAGCGUGGGGAGCAAACAGGAUUAGAUACCCUGGUAGUCCACGCCCUAAAACGAUGUCAACCAGUUGUUGGGGAUUCAUUUCCUUAGUAACGUAGCUAACGCGUGAAGUUGACCGCCUGGGGAGUACGGUCGCAAGAUUAAAACUCAAAUGAAUUGACGGGGUCAUAGCUGUUUCCU